UAGGGAAUCUUCGGCAAUGGACGAAAAGUCUGACCGAGCAACGCCGCGUGAGUGAAGAAGGUUUUCGGAUCGUAAAACUCUGUUGGUAGAGAAGAACGUUGGUGAGAGUGGAAAGCUCAUCAAGUGACGGUAACUACCCAGAAAGGGACGGCUAACUACGUGCCAA
rnacentral:rRNA from 1 species